rnacentral:rRNA from 1 species
AUUGAACGCUGGCGGUAGGCUUAACACAUGCAAGUCGAACGAACCUUCGGGUUAGUGGCGGACGGGUGAGUAACGCGUGAGAAUCUGCCCUCAGGAGGGGGAUAACGGCUGGAAACGGCCGCUAAUACCCCAUAUGCCGAGAGGUGAAAUGAAUUUCGCCUGAGGAUGAGCUCGCGUCUGAUUAGCUUGUUGGUGGGGUAAUGGCCUACCAAGGCGACGAUCAGUAGCUGGUCUGAGAGGAUGAUCAGCCACACUGGGACUGAGACACGGCCCAGACUCCUACGGGAGGCAGCAGUGGGGAAUUUUCCGCAAUGGGCGAAAGCCUGACGGAGCAACGCCGCGUGAGGGAUGAAGGCCUCUGGGCUGUAAACCUCUUUUAUCAAGGAAGAAGAUCUGACGGUACUUGAUGAAUAAGCCACGGCUAAUUCCGUG